CUCUUCCUUCACUCUGUGCGUCCAUGAAUCCACCAAUACUUCAUCGAGAAACGAACAUCCUCCUAGCUGACUUAGAAGACACGGAGUGUGCAAAUCCGGCUCUGCCUGGUGCAUCACACAGUUGGAGUGUGAGGAAGGAACUCUCACAGGAUAGGUGAAGGGAGUCCAGGCCUGAGAUCGUAGAUUCUCUGCUGGCUGCAGAGCAUGCUUCUCAGAAAAUAUGUUAGUCAUACAAUUUGAACAGGGCUAUUCUGCGAUGUAGAGACUGUCUGCCGAAACAGCUUUACCCUCGAGGACUGCGAUGUCUCUACACAUGCAACGUUCCCCUUGCACAACAGAGAGUCCAUGAUUGAGGGAUUCUACCUGCCCCUUCCUCCAACUACAGCCAUAUCUCUCCACAGUCAUGGCAAAUAUGCACUUCAUGAACAGGGUGUUUUAUAUUUUUUUUGCGGCUGAAUGUAUUGUAUCAAAGUUAAAAUGUAUUCAUGUUUAUUGUUGUGUAAAAUAUUAUCCUUAGAUUGUUUCUUACCAUUGGACGUACCAGAGGUGAUAUGUGGUUGCCUGACUAGCACCAUCCAUGUUGGCCCUGGGAAACAUAUCAUCCUUGUGGGAAUAAAUGGUCGCUACAAUGUCACAGUGCCUGUGCUGACCUGCACAACCUGUCUUAUCACCUGGACAGCAAACUUGGCAGAUCUGAUAAAGAAUGGGUACUGGCCUGCCACUGUCAACUGUGACACCAUAUAACUGGUAGAUCUGUUCAGCUCUUGAGGAGCUGAAAGUGUUAGCCCCAGGAAUGUCUGUCUGGUGUUUGUGUGGGUUUUGGAGCAGCAAACUGACUUCUUUGGCAGGGUAACAAUAAAUUAUACUCAGCUUUACCAAUGUAUGACUACAAGUUAACUAUGUUACAUUUUGUUUCAACACUUUGUAAUAUAACUUUAUUUCCAGUACUACAACUGUUAACUUCAGGUCUCUUGCUGCAGUAUGUUAGCCUCCUGCACCACUGUCCUGCCAUGCCCCUUAUCUGUGCCCCUCUUGCAUCCAAUAUUUCCUGUUUUUUACAGCAUAAGUACUCAUCCUACUUUUGCAUUUGCUUUCACCUGCUUUGCUGGCAAUGCUAUGCACUGGCCCUGCUUUAACUCAAAUCCAGUCAGCCAUAGUGAAUUAUAAUAUGUUUUGUUUAUAGUGUUGUUGUACGUUAUUUCAUGUCUUUCCCAUAUGUAUUUUUCCUUACAAGAACGGAAUGUUCUGUGGGGACACUUUUUAAAAAAGCUUCUUUGAGUGGACGUACUGCCGCUCUGAAAAUGAUCAGGUCUGUGAUAUACAGUACUUUGACUGCCCAGCCUGUUCACCCAGCAUGCUUGCAGUGUCAGUGGAUGGGAACAAGAAACUGUAUCGAUUCAAAAAAGGGUAGGUAAAACUAUUCAUAAUUGAUCAAAUAACACUAUUCUAUAUCGUUUAAACAAUCCAAACAAGGUUUGCCUUUUUUUUUUGUUCAGUGUGAAAGUUUUCAAAUGCAGUUGAGCUCAUUUUUAGCUUAAAUGUUUUGAGUUUGUAAUGAAAUGAAUUAUCAACAUUGUCAAGUGUCCCCCAGGAUCAGUUACUGAGGUUGAUUUACAUUUCAUAUGUCAUAUAUAAUGCAUUUCAUGUAUCCUUUCAAGGGCUGAUGACAAAGGAUUCUUUGAUGGUGUAUUUAUCUGCAAGGAUGAGGAUGUCUGACUUUGAACAAUGUCCACACAAAGACUAAACAUGUACUGUGGAUCUUCUAAUCUGUGAAAUAGGACUGGUCUUGGGCCAUCUGACUCAAAGGCAGACUAGUUAUACACUAUUCCAAUAAAAAACCCACUUUGGAGAGAUGGUAAUCCUCUCUCUUCAAGUCCAGGGUCGUUACACCACUCCCUCUGUUCAGAAAUGCAACACACUUUACAAGUGCAUCUUUUUGACAGUCUCCAACUUCUGAUCUCCUUUGUAGCGAACACAGGGGGUAGCUCAGCGCCCUCAGCUAGGUUUUAAAAACCUAACCACUGUCACGUUAACACCC